GAUGAAGAACGUAGUGAAAUGCAAUACUUGGUGUGAAUUGCAGAAUCCCGUGAACCAUCGAGUCUUUGAACGCAAGUUGCGCCCGAAGCCAUUAGGCCGAGGGCACGCCUGCCUGGGCGUCACACGUCGUUGCCCCCCCAUCUACUCCUUCGGGAUUGCGGGGGGCGGAUGAUGGCCUCCCGUGCGCCUCGUCGCGCGGUUGGCAUAAAUACCAAGUCCUCGGCGACGCACGCCACGACAAUCGGUGGUUGCGAAACCUCGGUUGCCCGUCGUGUGCGGUCGUCGCGCAUCGAGGGCUCGAAAAAAUUGCCGGGCUCCGGCUCGGCUUUCAACGCGACCCCAGGUCAGGCGGGGUUACCCGCUGAAUUUAAGCAUAUCAAUAAGCGGAGGA
rnacentral:misc_RNA from 1 species